CCUGCACCUUCAUCUGCAGGUAACAAGACUGGGAGCACAUGCGGCAAACAUUUAGGAUUAUAAAUCAGCGUCUGACGGGGUCGGAGUGAAGGCGAGCUAAUUUCGACUUUGGCCUCUUGGAGGAGGAGAGACGCCCACGCUUUGGUUUGAACCGCCUGAACUACAGGAGGAAACGAAGAAAUGCCCGUUCUUGAAAAGCCUGCUCUCGGGGUCCCUGAUUUGCACUUUGAUUCGAGCACCGCUGGGAAAAGCAGAUUUCAUCAAAGUUGUUUCCUGAAUAAAAAAUGAGGGCGUUUAUUUCGCGGCACCGACGGCUGACUUGGCGCUCAGGCUGAGCGACGGAUCCGUGGGAGCGAGAAAUGUGACAAACACCAACAUAACCAGCUCUGAUUUUAUUCAACAACUACAGCGGAUUUAUGGGAAUCUGAAGUUUGCAAAGAGGACGAGGAGGGGAGGCAACCGCAUCAACAGAGAGUCACAGAUUGUAGCCGGGCAGUCAAACAUUUGUGCUCCUUUUCUUUCCCUCAGUUCUCAGUGACUGAAUCUACCAUCCUCCAUCCAUGAAAAACAGACAGAAUUCUGUGGGAAAUCCUCAAAUCCUGCCGCAUGCAGUCUGUUUGCGAUAGUCCUGCCUGUCUGCGGACCCUUUUGACUGAGCUCUGUGACUUUCAAACAAGACGCAUCGCCAGUCACGGUUGCCGGUCGUCAACACGCUCGCCAGCUCGUGACUUCGUCAGGAGCUCAGCGGCCAGAGAGACGCUAGACGUCAGAGCAGCAAUUAAAGAUGUGACACAGCCAACAGGGACCAAGCGCUGAUACUUGAAUCUGAGCCCCCCCAACAAAAAAUCCCUCUUCUGCAAGAAAACAAGAAGCUGCUUGUCGGUGGAGUCAAAACUGCAGGUUGUUCUCUCUCCACAUCAACAGCAGGCUCACAUGCCCCGUUAGCACCUGCAACCUCUUCUUCGUGAGCUGAACGAAAGAAAUACAUGAGACCUUUCAUUUUUUAUUUUAGGUGAAGUAUUUAUCCGUUAAUCUGCCUAUAACCUGUUGGCUUUUAUUCUGAGUGUCCGAGAAGGGCCUGCAUGGUAUAAUGCAAUAUAAUACAAUGACAACAUCUGAUGAGCAUCUGUGUGAAUGUGUGUGAAUAUCUCCAUUGAAGCGGUGCCAUGGUCUGAAAAAGCUGGGGAAGGAUUGAGUUAAGCGGCACGUUAAGAGCCUGGUAAUAUUCCGGGAUUAGUAACCUCCCAGUUUAGUGGAAACCGGUUGCCAGGAAUGAGCGGCUACAACAAUCAACUGACGACUCGAAUCUUUAGUCUGUGCUUCAGCUCCAGCUUGUCCGGUCCUGGGGCACGAAUUAUAACCUCCUCACUGUGCGUGUGGUUGAGAGAGAGAGAGAAAACGUUUUUAAGAUGAAAUUUAAACCUAAACACGUGUUAAAAAGUAUUUAGGAAAUAUUCGAUUUCCGGAAACGUGCCCUGAAAUGAUUAAAUACUGCAUCUGUAAGCCUGCUGGUCACUUUUUUCCUCACCGAGCUAAACGCUGCAUGCGGGGCUCAUUGCCUCAAGUUUUCUAUACACUCGUUAUCAUUUCAAACAUAAUCCAGAACAACAGACAGUAAGAGCCAGUGAGCGGAAAGAGCGUUUUAAUCUGAGUGGCUGCCGAGUCAGACUGUCGGGGAGCAGGAGCGUCUGCAGAGUUCCCUCUUGUUUCCCGCUGCUUCCUGGCUGUUUGGAUCCAAACAGGGGUCGGAGGUCAGGUAUCUGACGACCCUCCUCCUUCCUGUCCGCUCGCCAGCCGUCCGCUGAUUGGAGGCUGCCGAUGCGUAAUAAUA